UGCCGGGUGGUGUAAUGGUAGCACAAGCGGCUCUGGACCGCUUAGUCUAGGUUCGAGUCCUAGCCCGGCAG
rnacentral:tRNA from 1 species